rnacentral:lncRNA from 1 species
AAACGGAGCCGGCUGGGAAGUGAGGUCGCCAGAGAGGUGAGGUCGCCAGGUUGGCUGCGAAACUGUGGCUGAAGUCUUCCCUUUCCCUUAGGAGCAGAGCUUCUCUGUGGAGUUAGGUGUCGGGAUCGGGCCCCGCGGACUGACGGCGUUGGCGCAGGCGCAGCCGCCGCUCUCCGCGCGCCUGGCGCCCGCGAGCAGACUCGGGCGCGCUCGCCGCCGCUGGGUCUCGGAUCGCACCCCGCGUGCAGUUUUAGGAAGAGGGACAUCCGCGCCCCUCGCUGUUCCCCGGGAAGAGCUACCACGCCGCCCCUGAAGGGGUUCUGAGCGCUUGUUUGGCGUCUGCUUUUCCUCUGCUGUUGAUUCGUGUUGGAGGUUUUCCAUUUCGUUUAAAACCGAUGUUUAGCCCCUGAAGACGUUUUCCCUGCGAGAGCCUGACCUUGGUGGCCAUGGGGGAGGAGGGCGGCGGGCUGGGCGGGAGAGGCUGGGACGCCCCGGGGAACGCAGCGCCAGACGGGUGGGCGCUCCUCACGUGGCCCAGGAAUAGUAGAAUCUGGAGAUUGUGGCUUGUUUCUGCUAAGUCCCAGACCCUUCUUUUUUUUUUUUUCUGUUUUAAUUUCUUUUGGAAGAUUUCACCCACACCAGUGUCGACAAAAUGAUGCAAUGUGCGCAGCGGCCAUGCUGAGCCCCCAGCAACUCAGGGCCUACCCUGCAUCCCUGCUCAUUCCCUCUCCCACCCGCCACCUCCGGACGCACAGAAUUUCAAUCUGCAAAUAAAUGGUGCAUUUAUAAUAUUCCAGUUUAACCCGCAAGAGCCUUGCGGCGUAGGGAGUAUCAUUCUCACUUUA